AAUCAUAGAAUCUGAGAAUUGGAAAGUUGGGUCCUCGAGGGUCAUCUAGUCCAACUCCCUCCAAUGCAGGAAUCUUUUUUGCCCAUUGUGAGGCUCCAACCCAGACCCUGAGAUUAAGAGUCUCAUGUUCUACAAAUUGAUCUAUCCCACUUUAAUCCAUUUCUACAAAAAUUGUGCCUUUCCAGCUAUAUCAAUAUUUGCAAAUUUUAAUUAUUAGUAUUAGUAGUAAGCAUUUUUACCUACUCUUCAGCUAAAAAGGCUUCCAAAGUGAAACAGCCACAUGCAUAUGGCAUGUAUAACAUUGAAGCAGGGUCUAUUGCUACCAUUUGAAUUUGAAUAUGUUGGCUAAUUCUAACCAUUUACAUCUGUCAGUGAUGUUUGGGGGAUAUGGGCAACAGGUGGCUGCCUUUGUAGGUCCAGUUGGGCUUUGGAGCCUUUCCAGUGAACAGACAGAUCUCUAUGCAUGAAUACCCUUUUAAUUUUAUUUCUGUUUUUUGGUGUACUCUCGUCUUCGAUAAGGAACUUUAUCAAAAGCAUUUUGAAAGCCCAGUCAGUGUGUAUUAGAUUCUCAUCAUGAAAAUGCAUCUCGCAUCUUUAAACAUGGUUUUAGCAGAUCGACAACCCUAGUAAGUAGAACCACUGUGGCCUCCAUCCCCCACCCCAUUGCUGAAAACACAAAGGAAAAACUAUGUGUGCAUGUUUCUCGCUUUUACGUUUUAGGUGUUCUUUUAUUCUGGGUGUGGUGAGAGGCUCUCAGCUAAUCCAAGCCUUGAUCACCCUUUCCAAAGUUAUUGGAGGAAGAAAUUUGGAGGAAAGAACGGUAGUAAAAGAAGCAGAAAACACAAAAUUGCUUUGUUUGCGGAGGUGCAGUAAGAAGGGUCGGGAUGGGAGAGUUGAAGUGCGAUUAUUUUGAUGUAUACCUUUUGUUCAUAUCUGAGCUCAUUAGGAAACCAAUGCUGAUGUGAAAAAAAUGUUUAUUUUUUUUUUAAAUAACACUAUUGCUUGUCUAUUAAGUGCAGUAAACUCCAUCUGGAAUGCAAAUGGAAGAAAAUUAAAUCUCUGGCCUGUUCCUCUCCUCUUCCAUCUGUUGGGUCUAUUUUAUUGCCCUGCCACCGUCACAGUAGAAUCUUGGAUUCUGCAGUUAAAAAAUCACGGCUCCUCGUGAACCCGGAAAUACCUUAUCAAGGCAGUGAAGUCCACUCUGCUCUUUAUUAUCUCUGUGGCGGACCGUGCUGACGUUUCCCGUCUCUGCGUCCCUCAGCUGCCGCCAGGAGGAGCGGCGGGGCGUCGUCAGGUUCUUCUCGCCUUUCCUUGGGAUGAGAGCUUCGAGUGGCUGGACUGAAGGGUUCCUGCAUUCUGCUGGCUACAGGUUAACAGUUCUGACUGGAGAGGUGCUGUUAUCAGGUUUCUCAUCCUAUUUAAUAAUGAAGUGAGGAUGAUAGGAAAGAAGGCUGCAGAACCACAGUUGCAGCAUAGUUGUUUCUGGUACAAAUCGACUACAGUGCUUCUCUCAUUUGAUGCAGAGGAAUGGGUCAGGAGACUUGAGAGAACCAAAUACAAGACUUGCAGAGAGCAUCGAGGGCCUGAGAACAUGCUGUCCCUUGGCGCUCUUCCUUUAUCCUUUGACCCUGGGAAAGAACAGCUUGUGGAGGACAGAUAAAAACCAGGGCACACAGAGAAACCAAUGAGGGAACAGGUGCCAUGUCAGCAGCUUUAUAUAGGAGUUUUUGCUGAGGUGCAAUCAGCACAGAGGGAAGUGGCCUGACCUUCCUACUCUACAGCUACUUGAAACUUGAGGAGCAAAACUAAUGGAAUCUGAAACAUUUCUUGUCCUUAGAUUUAUUCAGCAAAGAUACGUGACACCUUUCCACUCGAGCUGUAACAGCAAGGACCAGCUGGAGAGAUUAUGAAACACAAGGACUCUGUGCUCUAUUCUUGUGUUUGUGGCUGAAAUGCCGUAAUAAGGCAUUGGAAAAAAGAAAUGAAGCAAAAGCUUAUCAUAAGCAUUCACAUUUUCCUCCUGAGGACUUCCAGUGCAGCACUCCUAGAGGAAACUACUCUCUGGCAAGUGUGGAAAACACAGAAUAAUAAAUGAAGAGGUUGUUUAUAAUUAACAUAGUACUGGUAAGAGCACCCAAACCCAUCAAGUGGCUGGUUGGUUCUUAAGUUAUCUAGAAUGGUUACAGCCUUCCUUUGGCUGCUUUCCAUACAGUUCUGGGAAGACCAGUCACAGGAAAACCACAUGGGAGGGGUGAAUGAUGCAGUUACUUCCUGUGCUCUUCCCUUUACCUCUCCUGAGUCUGGCUGCUGUAGUGUAGGGAGAUAAGCAUACCAUAUGUCCCUCCCCCACAAAUGGAUAUUUUGCUUUUAAUUUUAUACUCUGUUUCUACAAAUUGCACCCUAAGUUGUGUACAAACACCUGACAGAAAAGUACAGUUGACUUGCAACCUGCGCACAUUUAACUUGUGCAAUUAUAGCUUUACAUGUUUGGCAGCUUGGCAGCAUGCAAUUGCACAAAUUAAACACUCCCAUGCAAGGCAGAGAGCUUGAAAGCUCCCACUGCAGAAAACUUUAAGCUCUCUGCCUUGAUUCCCAGGCUCUGGAAAAGUCUCACCAGGCCUCUGGGCUUAAAAGCUCUCUGCCUUCAUGGGGGUCAAGAUCCGCUCAGUGCGCCAGCUCCAGAAAGGUAGGAAUGGUCACCAGUGCUUUUUUUCUGGGGGUAAUCAAGGGUCCGCCAUACCGGCAUCUUUUUUCUAGAAGGAAAACACUGAUGGUCGCACAUGUUCAGUUGUGGGGUUGUUCCGGCAAUAAGCAAUUUUGCACAGUCCCUGGAACCUAACCCUCACGCAAGUUGUCUACAUUAAAAAUGACUACACACUGUUUAUAAUAUAACAUCGUUAACCAAAAUAUAAAUAUUUGUAGACCAACUAGGAAAUAGGCACAAACGAAUACAAUCUAGAGACACUGCUUUUUCUUCUCCAGUGGAUCACUUAGCAGCUGCUGAGAGCUGUGAUACCAGCCUGUUUCCUGGACCAGGUGCUUCUUAAGCUGAUUCAGCAAGACACAUUCUUAAGCAAGAAUGCCCAUUAAAGAUCUCUUAAUACACAUUAGUUAUGCGUUGACUGUUAAGGACUACUGAAGAUACACUCUUGCUUCAUAGAUUUAAAAUGUGCUGGUGGACCAUAGGGAUUCUAGGAUUAAAAAAAAAAACAAGACUGAAAUAAGCUUACCCUCAGGCAUCAUUCCACUGAGAAAAGAAGCACCCAAUAGCUAACAAUAAGUGAUCUAUGUAUUUUUUGUCUAAUAAUUGCAUCAGUCAGUUGACCAAGAUGGCUCUUAAUAACUUCAUUUAUGGACAGGAGGAGACUUGUUUGCUACAUCCAAGAGAAUAGGCUUAUUCAACCCCUUCACUGCUGUUCUUCCAGCUAUAAUGUAGUAAACAUGCCAUAGGACGUUAUUCACAGGCUUCUACCUGUAGGUCAGCUCACAUUCUUUCCUGUUCACAGCAAGAUAAUUAGCACUGGGCUAUUUUACCUUUGCCUAGAGCUAAAUAACAUUUCAUACUCAACAGGUACUCAACAGGUACAUAGUUUACUGGUGACUCAACAACUGAAACCCUUUUUCUUUCUCAACAAAAUGUUUCAUAA